GCCUGGGUGGCUCAGUCGACUGAGUGUCUGACUUCGGCUCAGGUCAUGAUCUCGCGGUUCGUGGGUUCGAGCCCCGCGUCGGGCU
rnacentral:tRNA from 1 species